rnacentral:rRNA from 1 species
GUCCACGCCGUAAACGAUGUCUACUAGCCGUUGGGAGCCUUGAGCUCUUAGUGGCGCAGCUAACGCACUAAGUAGACCGCCUGGGGAGUACGGUCGCAAGAUUAAAACUCAAAUGAAUUGACGGGGCCCGCACAAGCGGUGGAGCAUGUGGUUUAAUUCGACGCAACGCGAAGAACCUUACCAGGUCUUGACAUCCAGAGAACUUUCCAGAGAUGGAUUGGUGCCUUCGGAGCUCUGAGACAGGUGCUGCAUGGCUGUCGU